rnacentral:rRNA from 1 species
AGAAUCAACGCUGGCGGCGUGCCUAACACAUGCAAGUCGCACGAGAAAGGGACUUCGGUCCUGAGUACAGUGGCGCACGGGUGAGUAACACGUGAAUUAUCUACCUCCGAGUGGGGAAUAACUGAGAGAAAUCUUAGCUAAUACCGCAUAACACUUACGAGUCAAAGCAGCAAUGCGCUUGGAGAGGAGUUCGCGGCAGAUUAGUUAGUUGGCGGGGUAAUGGCCCACCAAGACGAUGAUCUGUAUCCGGCCUGAGAGGGCGCACGGACACACUGGAACUGAAACACGGUCCAGACUCCUACGGGAGGCAGCAGUGGGGAAUUUUGCGCAAUGGGGGAAACCCUGACGCAGCAACGCCGCGUGGAGGAUGAAAUAUCUUGGUAUGUAAACUCCUUUCGAUGGGAAGAUAAUGACGGUACCAUAGAAGAAGCCCGGCUAACUUCGUGCCAGCAGCCGC